rnacentral:rRNA from 1 species
UACAGAGGGUGCAAGCGUUGUUCGGAAUUAUUGGGCGUAAAGGGCGCGUAGGCGGUUCGGCAAGUCUCUAGUGAAAUCUCUGGGCUCAACUCAGAGUCUGCUGGGGAAACUGCCGGGCUUGAGUGUGGGAGAGGAGAGUGGAAUUCCCGGUGUAGCGGUGAAAUGCGUAGAUAUCGGGGAGGAACACCUGUGGCGGAAGGCGGGUCGUCUGGGCCG